rnacentral:misc_RNA from 1 species
GGACGUCGAAGGUGGGGCUGAUGACUGGGGUGAAGUCGUAACAAGGUAUCCGUACCGGAAGGUGCGGAUGGAUCACCUCCUAACAGGGAGACAACACAAUGAUUUUGAUGCCUGAGUGUUUUUAUUCUUAGGCCGAAAUCCUGUCACCUUAGGUCGAUCGGUACCUCAGCUUUGAAGUUAAGGAUCAGCAGCAAUGUUGAUUGCUUGAUGGAGAUUUUCAGUUCCUAAACUUUGUCUAGGUCACACCCCAAAAGGGAUGAGACUCCUGGGCCAUUAGCUCAGGUGGUUAGAGCGCACCCCUGAUAAGGGUGAGGUCCCUGGUUCAAGUCCAGGAUGGCCCAUUCGAUGUUGGGGGUUUAGCUCAGUUGGUAGAGCGCCUGCUUUGCAAGCAGGAUGUCAGGAGUUCGAGUCUCCUAACCUCCACUGACCGAACUUGAUUCCCAUCUCCAAAUUUUUGGAGUUGAGUUCAAUUGGAGUGUGAUGUAGAUGUGUCCGCUGGAUGAUCCCAGCUUCCUGUCAUUCCAGGUUUUAGGUUUAAGCCUUGAAUUUGGUUGAUAAGAUGCUGGGCUCGAAUCAAAUGAUCAAGCAAUUGAUGAUUUGAUUUGAAGUUCUAGCAGAACCUUGACAACUGCAUAGGUGAGUCUGGAAAAAACAAAGCAUCUUACAGAUGCAUUGUUUUGAAUUUGAUCUUCUGAAAGGGAGAUUGGAUCUAGAACAAUGAAAAUUCUUUUGAGCAAGAGCCGAGACUCUUGAACGUUCUUUGAUUCGUGUCGAGCGAAUCAGAGUUUGAUCUUGUUUUUAGCAAUAAAAACUUGAGAAUCUGCUUUCAACGGCGGUAAGCGUUCAGGAGGUUAAUUGGUCAAGCUACAAAGGGCUCA